GUACCACCUAUAGGGCAGCCCCCUAUGGGGGAGACCCUAUAGGGUGCUGUCUAUACGAUGUCACUUAUAGGUGAUGGUCUCUGGGGGCCUUGGGUGUAGGGCAGGGUCUAUAUAGGGCUGAAACAGGGGUCCGGCUCCCACCGGGAAGUCCAUAAGGUACCACCUAUAGGGCAGCCCCCUAUGGGGGAGACCCUAUAGGGUGCUGUCUAUACGAUGUCACUUAUAGGUGAUGGUCUCUGGGGGCCUUGGGUGUAGGGCAGGGUCUAUAUAGGGCUGAAACAGGGGUCCGGCUCCCACCGGGAAGUCCAUAAGGUACCACCUAUAGGGCAGCCCCCUAUGGGGGAGACCCUAUAGGGUGCUGUCUAUAAGGUGCCGCCCAUAGGGGACGGUCAAUGGCGCCUUGGCUGUAGAGUGGGGCCUGUAGGAUGGGGUCCAGCUCCUGUGGUGAGACCUGCAAGGUACCGUCUAUAGGGAACCAUCUAUAGGAUGUACUCUAUACGGGGUCAGGAUUCUUGGGGGAGGUCUAGAAGGUACCACCAUGGGGUUGGAGUCCUUCGGGGAACUCUAUAAGGGACCGGAACAGGGUUGGGGGUCCUUUGGGGAGGUCUAUGAGGGACCACCAUGGGGUUGGGGGUCCUUGGGGGAGGUCUAGAAGGAACCACUAUGGGGUUGGGGGUCCUUGAGGGAGGUCUAGAAGGUACCACCAUGGGGUUGGAGUCCUUUGGGGAGGUCUAUAAGGGACCGGGACAGAGUUGGGGGUCCUUUGGGGAGGUCUAUGAGGGACCACCAUGGGGUCGGGCUUCUUCAGGGAGGUCUAGAAGGUAUCACCAUGGGGUUGGGGUCCUUUGGGGAAGUCUAUGAGGGACCACCAUGGGGUCGGGCUUCUUCAGGGAGGUCUAGAAGGUAUCACCAUGGGGUUGGGGUCCUUUGGGGAAGUCUAUGAGGGACCACCAUGGGGUCGGGCUUCUUCAGGGAGGUCUAGAAGGUAUCACCAUGGGGUUGGGGUCCUUUGGGGAAGUCUAUGAGGGACCACCAUGGGGUCGGGCUUCUUCAGGGAGGUCUAGAAGGUAUCACCAUGGGGUUGGGGUCCUUUGGGGAAGUCUAUGAGGGACCACCAUGGGGUCGGGCUUCUUCAGGGAGGUCUAGAAGGUAUCACCAUGGGGUUGGGGUCCUUUGGGGAAGUCUAUGAGGGACCACCAUGGGGUCGGGCUUCUUCAGGGAGGUCUAGAAGGUAUCACCAUGGGGUUGGGGUCCUUUGGGGAAGUCUAUGAGGGACCACCAUGGGGUUGGGCUUCUUCAGGGAGGUCUAGAAGGUAUCACCAUGGGGUUGGGGUCCUUUGGGGAAGUCUAUGAGGGACCACCAUGGGGUUGGGCUUCUUCAGGGAGGUCUAGAAGGUAUCACCAUGGGGUUGGGGUCCUUUGGGGAAGUCUAUGAGGGACCACCAUGGGGUUGGGCUUCUUCAGGGAGGUCUAGAAGGUAUCACCAUGGGGUUGGGGUCCUUUGGGGAAGUCUAUGAGGGACCACCAUGGGGUUGGGCUUCUUCAGGGAGGUCUAGAAGGUAUCACCAUGGGGUUGGGGUCCUUUGGGGAAGUCUAUGAGGGACCACCAUGGGGUUGGGCUUCUUCAGGGAGGUCUAGAAGGUAUCACCAUGGGGUUGGGGUCCUUUGGGGAAGUCUAUGAGGGACCACCAUGGGGUUGGGCUUCUUCAGGGAGGUCUAGAAGGUAUCACCAUGGGGUUGGGGUCCUUUGGGGAAGUCUAUGAGGGACCACCAUGGGGUUGGGCUUCUUCAGGGAGGUCUAGAAGGUAUCACCAUGGGGUUGGGGUCCUUUGGGGAAGUCUAUGAGGGACCACCAUGGGGU
ensembl:lncRNA